UAGAUACCCCACUAUGCUCAGCCAUAAACUAUGGUGAAGCCCCCUUUCACCCGCCAGAGAAUUACAGGUAAACAACUUAAAACUCAAAAGACUUGACAGUAUCUCACACCAACCUAGAGGAGCCUGUCCUACAACCGAUAAUCCACGAUUUACCUCACCCACCUUUGCAGUAACAGCCUAUAUACCUCCGUCGCCAGCCCGCCUGACAACAGCAUUGAAAGCGGGUGUAAUAGCUUCGCCACUUAUACGACAGGUCAAGGUGUAGCUAAUAGGUCGGGCAGAGAUGGGCUACAUUUUCUACCCUAGAACACACCUAUAAUGCCAUGAAAGAGGCACUGAAAGGUGGAUUUAGCAGUAAGAGGGGCAAGACCAAGCCCCCCUGAAGUUUGCUCUGAGAUGUGUACACACCGCCCG
rnacentral:rRNA from 1 species